CACGUAGUUAGCCGUGGCUUCCUCCUCAGGUACCGUCAUCAUCGUCCCUGAAGACAGAGCUUUACAACCCGAAGGCCGUCAUCACUCACGCGGCGUUGCUGCAUCAAGGUUUCCCCCAUUGUGCAAUAUUCCCCACUGCUGCCUCCCGUAGGAGUCUGGGCCGUGUCUCAGUCCCAAUGUGGCCGAUCACCCUCUCAGGUCGGCUACGCAUCGUCGCCUUGGUGAGCCGUUACCUCACCAACUAGCUAAUGCGCCGCGGGCCCAUCUCAUAGCGGAUUGCUCCUUUAAUUGCUACUUCAUGCGAAGCUACAAUCUUAUGCGGUAUUAAUCUCCCUUUCGGAAGGCUAUUCCCCUCUAUGAGGCAGGUUGCCCAGUGUUACUCACCCGUCCGCCGCUAGCUUUGUUCCGAAGAACUCCACUCGCUCGACUUGCAUGUGUUAGGCACGCCGCCAGCGUGUCUGAGCAGACGCAACUACUCUACG
rnacentral:rRNA from 1 species